rnacentral:lncRNA from 1 species
UAACUCCAGGGACCCGUCAAACAAUAAAGUAAUGCUUUCUGAAAAGGAAUUUCAUUUGGCCCCUUCUGGAAGGGAAAAAAUAAGAAAGCAAAGAAAAGCCAUAAUUCUCAUCGUUAAUAUUUUCUUUCCACUAUAGAUAGUACUUUCAUGGCAUAUCCUGCUGGUGACCAAAAAUUUGAAAGCCACUCUAAAGAGGAAAACUAUGUCUAGGAAGGAUAUAUGCCCAGCAGUCCACUGGUUGGCAGGACCAUAUCACCAUCCCACCUUUAAAUGGCACGAGGAUAAGGGAAGCAAUCAUCUAUGUGGCCCUCCUCUACAGAGCAAGGGUGUCCAGCUUUUCUAAGAUGCCCAUGGCUAAGGCCUUAUUUCUACCUGGAAUCAUGCCUGCUGCCUCAAAGUUAUUCUCAUCUCAAGUCCUUUCUCUUCCAAGGUAGAGUUUUCUGUGCAGGAGCUGGACAAACAGGAAAGAAAGCUUUCAAAAGCUCCAUGCCUUGGCAAGACCAGUAAAGAUUCAGCACAGAAACAUUUCAGGCACACCACCUGCUGAGCUUUCCCAAUUUAACAAACUUAUGUGAGGUCUGGAGAGAGCAAAUGAAUGUGUUUUGAAAAUAGGACCAACUGUGCAUCCAUUUAAGUGGUAGUUUCUGAGGUCAGUACCAUUCCUAACAUUACCCUCAAAACCGUUCAGAGGUCCACUAGCUCCUGGCCAGCCUUAAAAAAUACUUUUCCCUAUUAAGUUAAUUUGAAAGACAAAUCCAGCCAUUGGAUCCAGCUCUUUUAAAGACAUUUGUUGGAAUCAUCAUGUGGAGGACAAAGGGCUAAAGGGAUUUGUGAACUGAAAAUAAAGGACAUUAUAAGAUGACA